rnacentral:rRNA from 1 species
UGACCUCUGACCUCAAAUCAGGUAGGACA